CCAAUCACCUUGAUGGUCCCGCCCUUAGUUGCGUUUUGCCUGAACUAGCUAGUUAGCUUGAUGAGACCAGCUUGCUAACUUCUGACUGGGUAGCUGGUGAAACAGCCGAGCAGAGGACUGACGAUAGUUUCCUCAGUGGGAUUUUAUGGGUGAGCUCACAUCGACCUGGCGGGUCUGUUAGCCCCUAUGCUAGCUGUUACUAUGGUUAACGUCAUUGACAUGUGCUUAAAAUUGCUAGCAUGCUGCCUCUACGAGUUUCAGAACCAAAAUAAAACAGGUAAAAUAUGUAUUUUCAGAAUUGUAAAAUUUUAGCUACAUGGCUAACAAACUACUUUUGCACUGCUCUAUGUUACCUUAAAAACAUAUCAUUUUUUAAGGUAUGUAUUGUGUUUUAUUACCAUAAAUGUAUAUUUUCUUUGCAUCAACUGGAUGGGAAUAAUGCUGUGUUCGAGACAAAUAUUGGUAUAAAAGUCUUGCCGUGUGAAGCAGGCAUUAGAGAUAAAGUGAGGAGCUCUUUCUGUCAUCUGCUGUCUCCACAUUGAGUCAGUUGAGGAUGGCUCCUUGGUGUCUCCCUUUGGAAGUUGUCUAGGUAGGCCCCACUCAGAGGAGACCUCAGGAAAAGUAAACUUCUUGCAGGGAUUAUAUAU